rnacentral:rRNA from 1 species
CACCGCGGUUAUACGAGAGACUCAAGCUGUUAGACACCGGCGUAAAGAGUGGUUAAGAGCACAGACAAAUUAAAGUCUAAUACUCCCUCAGCUGUAAAAAGCAAAAGGGGGCUAGAAGCCCAUCAACGAAAGUGACUUUAUUAAUUCUGAACCCACGUAAGCUAAGGCA